rnacentral:rRNA from 1 species
UACGUAGGGUGCGAGCGUUGUCCGGAAUUAUUGGGCGUAAAGAGCUCGUAGGCGGUCUGUCGCGUCGAAUGUGAAAACCCGGGGCUCAACUCCGGGCUUGCGGGCGAUACGGGCAGGCUAGAGUUCGGUAGGGGAGACUGGAAUUCCUGGUGUAGCGGUGAAAUGCGCAGAUAUCAGGAGGAACACCGGUGGCGAAGGCAGCCUUCUGGGCCAACACUGACGCUCAUGCACGAAAGCGUGGGGAGCAAACAGG